GGAAUCUUCCACAAUGGGCGAAAGCCUGAUGGAGCAACGCCGCGUGUGUGAUGAAGGGUUUCGGCUCGUAAAACACUGUUGUAAGAGAAGAAUGACAUUGAGAGUAACUGUUCAAUGUGUGACGGUAUCUUACCAGAAAGGAACGGCUAAGUACGUGCCAG
rnacentral:rRNA from 1 species